rnacentral:rRNA from 1 species
CAGCAGCCGCGGGAAUACAGAGGGUGCGAGCGUUAAUCGGAUUUACUGGGCGUAAAGCGUGCGUAGGCGGCUUUUUAAGUCGGAUGUGAAAUCCCUGAGCUUAACUUAGGAAUUGCAUUCGAUACUGGGAAGCUAGAGUAUGGGAGAGGAUGGUAGAAUUCCAGGUGUAGCGGUGAAAUGCGUAGAGAUCUGGAGGAAUACCGAUGGCGAAGGCAGCCAUCUGGCCUAAUACUGACGCUGAGGUACGAAAGCAUGGGGAGCAAACAGGAUUAGAAACCCGUGUAGUCCCUGUCUCUUAUAC